CCAAUUGAGUGGCUGACAUUUUAGCUAAUAUCGGGGUGUUUGUGCUAUACCUUCGGAUGCCUUUCAGUCCUUGAUGUUUAUGGACUCCCAAGGGUGAUCCCUUUCUGUUUUGUUUUCAACUUCGCACUAAUCAAAAGAAUCAUUCUAACAUCUAUAUAAGAACAUUGCACACAAAAAAACACAGAGCAUAAACAAAGCCACAACCAAAAAAAUCAUAGAACUCACAUAGAACGUACAUAACAAAUUAACCCUAAAAUCAAAACCUAACCUUCAAGGAUAGUAUCCCGUACCCAUCUGCUCCCUAACGUGUCCUCGUGAUGGAAAGAAAAUCCUAGUGGAUUACCCAUCUGCUUCGAACCUGAAGAGGUCUUCUAUGUUGGUUCUUGGUCAUUUGUUUCUCAAGUCUUAAAAGUAGGUUUGUGAUCAGAUUUCA
rnacentral:lncRNA from 1 species